CCCUUAGAUGUUCUGGGCUGCACGCGCGCUACACUGGUGCGUUCAGCGAGUUUAGCGCCUUAACAGAUAUGUUUGGGUAAUCUUCUGAAAACGCGCCGUGAUGGGGAUCGAUUAUUGUAAUUAUUAAUCGUCAACGAGGAAUUCCUAGUAAGUGUGAAUCAUCAGUUCGCGCUGAUUACGUCCCUGCCCUUUGUACACACCGCCCGUCGCUGCUACCGAUUGAGUGGUCCGGUGAAUUAUUCGGACUGCAGCAGUGUUCAGUUCCUGAACGUUGCAGCGGAAAGUUUAGUGAACCUUAUCACUUAGAGGAAGGAGAAGUCGUAACA
rnacentral:rRNA from 1 species